rfam:Sus scrofa chromosome 3.
UCCUUGGUGGUCUAGUGGUUAGGAUUCAGCACUUUCACCACUGCAGCCCAGGUUCAAUCCCUAGUCUGGGAA